rnacentral:rRNA from 2 species
CGUCGGCCUUCCUCCACAGGUUCUGCUGUUUGCAACAGUGAAAGGCAUGGAAAUGCACCCGUUAGCCAACCGGUGUACAACCUCUCUCUUCGACCUCAGCGUAGUAAGAUCACCCGCUGAACUUAAGCAUAUCAAUAAGCGGAGGAAAAGAAACCAACAGGGAUUGCCCUAGUAAUGGCGAAUGAACAGGCAAAAGCUCAGAUUUGAAACCCUCGGGAUUGUAGUCUGAAGAACCGGAUUUGGAAUGCUGGCCAAGUCUUCUGGAAUGGAGCGCCAUGGAGGGUGACAGCCCCGUAGCAGCGCCGUUGUAAAUCCGGUUCCACGAGUCGAGUUGUUUGGGAAUGCAGCUCUAAGUGGGUGGUAUGCUCCAUCUAAAGCUAAAUAUUGGCGAGAGACCGAUAGCGAACAAGUACUGUGAAGGAAAGAUGAAAAGAACUUUGAAAAGAGAGUGAAAUAGUACGUGAAAUUGUUGAAAUGGAAGGCAAUGAGGCGCGAUUGAAGCGGGCGUUUGGGGGCAGGACAAAAGCGCGGGCCGCUUCGGCACUGCCUGCGUGCAUACUGCCUCCCGGACUACCGGUUCUAACAACGCCUUACUGCACCCGUCUUGAAACACGGACCAAGGAGUCUAUUGCCUAUGCGAGUGUUUGGGUGGCAAACCCAUACGCGCAGUGAAAGCACUCGGUUCGAAACCUAUGGUGGCAGAACCGGCCGAACUCUCCAGGGAGUAUUGAGCAAGCACAGGUGAUGGGACCCGAAAGAUGGUGAACUAUGCCUGA